AAUGUCUGGGAAACUGCCUGAUGGAGGGGGAUAACUACUGGAAACGGUAGCUAAUACCGCAUAACGUCGCAAGACCAAAGAGGGGGACCUUCGGGCCUCUUGCCAUCGGAUGUGCCCAGAUGGGAUUAGCUAGUAGGUGGGGUAACGGCUCACCUAGGCGACGAUCCCUAGCUGGUCUGAGAGGAUGACCAGCCACACUGGAACUGAGACACGGUCCAGACUCCUACGGGAGGCAGCAGUGGGGAAUAUUGCACAAUGGGCGCAAGCCUGAUGCAGCCAUGCCGCGUGUAUGAAGAAGGCCUUCGGGUUGUAAAGUACUUUCAGCGGGGAGGAAGGGAGUAAAGUUAAUACCUUUGCUCAUUGACGUUACCCGCAGAAGAAGCACCGGCUAACUCCGUGCCAGCAGCCGCGGUAAUACGGAGGGUGCAAGCGUUAAUCGGAAUUACUGGGCGUAAAGCGCA
rnacentral:rRNA from 1 species